AUUGAACGCUGGCGGCAUGCCUUACACAUGCAAGUCGAACGGCAGCACGGGAGCAAUCCUGGUGGCGAGUGGCGAACGGGUGAGUAAUAUAUCGGAACGCGCCCAGUCGUGGGGGAUAACGCAGCGAAAGCUGUGCUAAUACCGCAUACGAUCUAAGGAUGAAAGCGGGGGAUCGCAAGACCUCGCGCGAUUGGAGCGGCCGAUAUCAGAUUAGCUAGUUGGUGGGGUAAAGGCCCACCAAGGCGACGAUCUGUAGCUGGUCUGAGAGGACGACCAGCCACACUGGAACUGAGACACGGUCCAGACUCCUACGGGAGGCAGCAGUGGGGAAUUUUGGACAAUGGGCGCAAGCCUGAUCCAGCAAUGCCGCGUGCAGGAUGAAGGCCUUCGGGUUGUAAACUGCUUUUGUACGGAACGAAACGGCCCUUUCUAAUACAGGGGGCUAAUGACGGUACCGUAAGAAUAAGCACCGGCUAACCACGUGCCAGCCGCCGCAGUAAUAC
rnacentral:rRNA from 1 species